GGGCUGAGGUUUAGGGUUAUGAUGAAAUAGUGAUUUAUCAAGGUCCGAAUCACCGGAGAAGAAAUCAUCAUCAAGGGUACCAACACGGGAUAAAUGAAGGAAAGGGCGGCGGCGAUGACGGCGGAGGUCACGACGGAGGUGGUGGUGGUGUUGAGUUUGAGUACUGGCGGAGAGGAGGUCAAUACGAGAUACUAGGGAUUUGAGAGAAGGGUCACGAUCGAUGAAUGAAGUGAGAUAGUGGGUCCCAUUUUCGACAUUGGAACGAAAAGUGAGGAUUAGGGAUGAAAGGAGAAGAAAAAGGAGGAGGUUGGAGGUGAAGAUAGUGGUGGUUUGUUUGAGGAUUUGGGUUGUUAUUUGAUGGUUUAUUGAUGGGGGAUGAAAGGAGAAGAAAAAGGAAGAGGUUGGAGGUGAAGAUAGUGGUGGUUUGUUUGAGGAUUUGGGUUAUUAUUUGAUGGUUUAUUGGUGGUGGUUGUGGUGGUUGACGGUGGUGAUUGUGGUGGUUCAUGAUGUUUGAUUGGUUGAUGAUAAAAGUUUGAUUUUAUUCCGGUGGUAAUGGGUUUAAUUGGAGAUUGAUAGGGGUGGAAAUGGUCAAUUUGAGAACAUUUGGGGUGCAGAAGUGAAAAUAUUUGGAUCGAGUUAUUAAUAUAGCUUGGGAAGAAAAAAUUAAUAUUUGAAAGAAGUAUAUACCGUC
rnacentral:lncRNA from 1 species